CAAGAAAUUAUACAAUAUUUUAAGUAAGCUAUGUGGACCUUGGGAACUUAGGGAUUCAAGAACUCUCCUGAAGUGAGAUGAUUAACCACAUGCCUGUCACAUUGUAUUUCAAUAAAUAUUUUUGAGUCCUCUUGGUUCAGUCCUCUUAUAGAAUGAGUAGUUUUCUCCUUCUGGGUGGGUUAGUCCUCUAGGAGAAGAAGUUAUUUUUAGCUUCCUAAGGCAAGCCUCAAGUUGACAAUCUUAUGUUUGUCUCCUCUAGGGCUCUCACUUUUCCCUUUUGGGCCUGCGCACAAUAUCCUCCUAAUCCAAAUGCCCCUUAACUCACACAGCUGAUAAUGAUGAUAAUUGCAAAGGCCUACUAUGGGUUGUUGACUGUGCUAGCCCUUGGGAAGUAGAUGUGCUACUAAAAUCCUUGAAAGCAACAGCAGCAGAAAUUGCAAAGAUGAAAAUUCCAAACUCUGGGACUAUGAUUUCUGGGUUGCUUUUAGCACUGCUCCCUUCCAGCUAUUCGAUUUUGGUAAGUUAACUAAUCUCGCUGACCCCCAGCUUCUUAUAAAUAAAAUGAUGUUCACAAUGGUAACUGCCCUUUAG
rnacentral:lncRNA from 1 species